UUGUCAAUCAUGAUUUUUAGUAUUAUAAAAAAUUAAAGCAAUAAAAUAGGUGUACACUAUUUUUCUCCGUGUAAGGGCCUAGCUACAAUGUACAGGAACGGCGGAGUCUGUAACUUUGGUGGGUGUACAGCCCACCAGCAAUCAGGUGCCAACAUGCAGUUUGUUUGCCGAGCUUCCCCUUCCGUUGAUUCUGAUUUGGAUUUGGAUUCAGUUCAGUUUGUUGCUGUUGUUAGGUUGGCAAACACGAGAGCACACACCCUGCAGUUCCACAAUUCAUCGCUACUCGAAAACAACACCAAAUCGGAGGAUAAGCAUGCCGCACCAAGGACCAAUUGUAGUACUACUACUUUACAUAUCAUUAUUAUUUAUUAAUUUUAAGGAAUAUAUUUCAUUUCCUGAAAUAUUAACACAGCUUAUAACACAAUAUAGUUGACAUUCUAAUGCCCUGAUUGAGGCACAAUGCAG